rnacentral:sRNA from 1 species
UAGAUUUUACUAAAUUACAAAUAUAUGAUUAAUAAAUGGGAAAAAUGUCAUUUAAUUCCCCAACUUUAAAAAAAUGGUUAUUUUAUACAUCAACUUCGUAUGUGCCCGUUUAAAACAUGAACUAAACGUUGACUAAUUUUUAAAACAUGAUCUUUCGUUGACCAGGCCAGAAUAGACAUGCCGUUAUCAGUCAUUAACGGAACUUUUAACGUCUGUUAUCAUCCGUUAACUUUAUUAGUCAAGUUUCAAAUUGUGGUCAUUUUAAACAUCAACUUCUUAUUUGGCCAUUUAAAACAUGAACUAAACGUUGACUACCAUUUAAGACAUGAAAAAUUCGUUAACCAGGCCAAAAUAGAUAUGUCUUUAUCAGUAGAACCUAGAAAUAAUGACUGUUAAUCUGUCCAAAACAACGUCGUUUGAGAAUAAUCGAAAGAACACAAAGAUUUUUUCCAUAUAAAAUCUCCAUAUCAAAAGUUUUAAGCAGAACCCAAGAACAUAGUUUGAUAAAGAGAUAAUCGCAGUGCCAGUAAUUGGAAGCAAAUAAAGGUGUUUUCGUUUAUAUAUUUGUUUUAAAUUUUAAAGGGAAUCAUGGAAGCAAAUUGAAGACUCAUUAUAAGAUUAUUCGUCUUGUUUGAGCGGUUGUAGAAAUAGAUUUGGGGAACUGGGGUUUCAUUUAGAAUCUUUUGAUUAUUCUCAAAACAAAGUCGUUUUAGGGAUACUAAUAAAGUCGUUAACAAGUGAUAAUGAAUUUUAUAAGUUCUUUUAAUGAAUGAUGACAACAUGUUUAUUUUGGCUUGGUCAACGAAUUUCUCAUGUUUUAAAUGGUAGUCAACGCUUAGUUCAUAUUUAAAAUAGUCACAUAUAAAGUCGGUGUUUAAAAUGGCCACAAUUUAAAACUUGACUAAUAAAGUCGUUAACGGAUGAUAACGGAUGUUAGAAGUUCCGUUAAUGACUGAUAACGGCAUGUCUAUUUUGGCCUGGUCAACGAAUAAUCAUGUUUUAAAAGUUAGUCAACGUUUAGUUCAUGUUUUAAACGGCCGCAUACGAAGUUGAUGUAUAAAAUAAUCAUUGUUUGAAAGUUGGGGGAUUAAUUGACAUUUUUCCCAUUAAUAAAUUGACUCUUAAUGUUUAGAUUAAGCUUAGAAUUAACAAAUCAACUGAUAAGAGUUAUAACAAGUUUAAGCUCUUCUUCUUCCUAAACUGAAUAUUAU